rnacentral:rRNA from 1 species
GGGAACUACGAGCAUAAGCUUAAAACCCAAAGGACUUGGCGGUGCUUUAGACCCCCCUAGAGGAGCCUGUUCUAGAACCGAUAACCCCCGUUUGACCUCACCUUUUCUUGUCCACCCCGCCUAUAUACCGCCGUCGUCAGCAUACCCUGUGAAGGAAACAUAGUAAGCAAAACUGGUAAAACCCAAAACGCCAGGUCGAGGUGUAGCGUACGAAAAGGAAAGAAAUGGGCUACAUUUCCUUCCCCAGGAAAUACGAAUUGUGCCAUGAAACAGCACAUGAAGGAGGAUUUAGCAGUAAGCAGAAAACAGAGCGUUCCGCUGAACCUGGCCCUGAAGCGCGCACACACCGCCCGUCACUCUCCCCAAGUCUAAAAACAUUAAUAAUUAAAACCCCACAAAGACAAAGGGGAGGCAAGUCGUAACAUGGUAAGUGUACCGGAAGGUGCACUUGGAAAAAC